UACGAAGGGGGCUAGCGUUGCUCGGAAUCACUGGGCGUAAAGGGUGCGUAGGCGGGUCUUUUAAGUCAGGGUGAAAUCCUGGAGCUCAACUCCAGAACUGCCUUUGAUACUGAAGAUCUUGAGUUCGGGAGAGGUGAGUGGAACUGCGAGUGUAGAGGUGAAAUUCGUAGAUAUUCGCAAGAACACCAGUGGCGAAGGCGGCUCACUGGCCCGAUACUGACGCUGAGGCACGAAAGCGUGGGGAGCAAACAGG
rnacentral:rRNA from 1 species